rnacentral:rRNA from 1 species
CCUACGGGAGGCAGCAGUGGGGAAUAUUGCACAAUGGGGGAAACCCUGAUGCAGCAACGCCGCGUGGGUGAAGGAGCGUUUCGGCGCGUAAAGCCCUGUCAGCGGGGGAGAAGAAAGACGGUACCCGACCAAGAAGCCCCGGCUAACUACGUGCCAGCAGCCGCGGUAAGACGGAGGGGGCGGGCGUUAACCGGAAUUACUGGGUGUAAAGGGAGCGUAGACGGCGAGGUAAGCCUGAGGUGGAAGCCCGGGGCCUAACCGCGGAACUGCUUUGGGAACUGUUUUGCUGGAGUAUGGGAGGGGUAAGCGGAAUUCCUGGUGUAGCGGUGAAAUGCGUAGAUAUCAGGAGGAACACCGGUGGCGAAGGCGGCUUACUGGAGCAUAACUGACGUUGAGGCUCGAAAGCGUGGGGAGCGAACAGGAUUAGAUACCCGAGUAGUC